rnacentral:lncRNA from 1 species
GUAGGGAUGAUGUUGUUAAAGACUUAAAAUAAAGAUUUGAAAUGGUUGCGACUGUAAAAACCAAAAAAGAAUGACUAGUAAAAGAAAGUCUAACUAGCGUUGCGUUUUCUUUACUUUUCCGAAUGGAGCUCCGUCCUCCACUCGAGUGGCUGCGCGACGAGUGUUGUUGACGACGAAUCUACUAGGAACUGCGUUGUACAGGAGGAAGUUUACCAGAAUCUACAAACAAAACAAUGACUCCGGUUACCGCGGAUAAAUAAUUCCAUAUUAAAAAUUGCUUACUGACUUUUGACAAAAC